AGAGUUUGAUCCUGGCUCAGGAUGAACGCUAGCGGCAGGCUUAACACAUGCAAGUCGAGGGGCAGCGAGGGUAAUAGCAAUAUUACCUGUCGGCGACCGGCGCACGGGUGCGUAACGCGUAUGCAACCUACCAUCAACAGGGGGAUAACACUGAGAAAUUGGUACUAAUACCCCAUAAUAUCUCAUGCGGCAUCGCAUGGGGUUGAAAACUCCGGUGGUUGAUGAUGGGCAUGCGUUGUAUUAGCUGGUUGGUGAGGUAACGGCUCACCAAGGCGACGAUACAUAGGGGGACUGAGAGGUUAACCCCCCACAUUGGUACUGAGACACGGACCAAACUCCUACGGGAGGCAGCAGUGAGGAAUAUUGGUCAAUGGACGGAAGUCUGAACCAGCCAUGCCGCGUGCAGGAAGACGGCUCUAUGAGUUGUAAACUGCUUUUGUACGAGGGUAAACCCCGAUACGUGUAUUGGGUUGAAAGUAUCGUACGAAUAAGGAUCGGCUAACUCCGUGCCAGCAGCCGCGGUAAUACGGAGGAUCCAAGCGUUAUCCGGAUUUAUUGGGUUUAAAGGGUGCGUAGGCGGAUUGAUAAGUUAGAGGUGAAAUGUCCGAGCUCAACUCGGGAACUGCCUCUAAUACUGUUGAUCUAGAGAGUAGAUGCGGUAGGCGGAAUGUAUGGUGUAGCGGUGAAAUGCUUAGAGAUCAUACAGAACACCGAUUGCGAAGGCAGCUUACCAAACUAUAUCUGACGUUGAGGCACGAAAGCGUGGGUAGCAAACAGGAUUAGAUACCCUGGUAGUCCACGCAGUAAACGAUGAUAACUCGUUGUCGGCGAUACACAGUCGGUGACUAAGCGAAAGCGAUAAGUUAUCCACCUGGGGAGUACGUUCGCAAGAAUGAAACUCAAAGGAAUUGACGGGGGCCCGCACAAGCGGAGGAACAUGUG
rnacentral:rRNA from 1 species